GCCCCCUUAGCUCAGCUGGCAGAGUGCCUCCAUGGUAAGGAGGAGGUCUCCGGUUCGAAUCCGGAAGGGGGCU
rnacentral:tRNA from 1 species